rnacentral:rRNA from 1 species
CGUGUAGGCGGUUUGGUUAGUUGGAUGUGAAAGCUCCUGGCUUAACUGGGAGAGGUCGUUCAAUACUGCCAGACUUGAGAGUGGUAGAGGGAGGUGGAAUUCCGGGUGUAGUGGUGAAAUGCGUAGAUAUCCGGAGGAACACCAGUGGCGAAAGCGGCCUCCUGGACCAUUUCUGACGCUCAGACGCGAAAGCUAGGGUAGCAAACG